ensembl:lncRNA
GUAAGGAACUAUUACACUGCAAGAUCUGCGAGUGAUUGUGAAGAUGACUGUGGUUCUUAAACUAGAACAGAAAACUGGUUGCAAAUAUCUUAUACACUGCUAUUUGGGGAAGGUACUCAGUAACACAUCCCUUUGGUGAUAGCUGAACUUGCUGGUUGACUGCAGUCAUCUACUUCACCCUUGAAAGAUUGGCAGUCAGUGCACAGUGGAAGGUGGUGAGGGAGAUACCACUCACACUGAAGGCCUGUUCAUUUCUGUUGAAGCAAAUGAAGAAGUUGAGUAUCUGAAUGGCAGAACAGAGAAAUUCAUCAUGUUGCACCAUCCAGGCUUGCGGUUUCUUCCAAAGAAAUCAGCCAGGAAUUAGAUGAAGUUCUGCUCUAUCCUCUGUACUUGUGAAAGCAGAAUUUCCAC